UUUCACGCUGCCAAGAAAAGCCUCUAGCGAGGCGGGAGGUGCCUGUACCGCAAACCGACACAGGUAGGCGAGGAGAGAAUCCUAAGGUGAUCGAGAGAACUCUCGUUAAGGAACUCGGCAAAAUGACCCCGUAACUUCGGGAGAAGGGGUGCUCUGGUAGGGUGUUAAAGCCCGAGAGAGCCGCAGUGAAUAGGCCCAGGCGACUGUUUAGCAAAAACACAGGUCUCUGCAAAACCGCAAGGUGAAGUAUAGGGGCUGACGCCUGCCCGGUGCUGGAAGGUUAAGAGGAGAGGUCAGCGCAAGCGAAGCUUCGAAUUGAAGCCCCAGUAAACGGCGGCCGUAACAAUAACGGUCCUAAGGUAGCGAAAUUCCUUGUCGGUAAGUUCCGACCCGCACGAAAGGCGUAACGAUCUGGGCACUGUCUCAACGAGAGACUCGGUGAAAUUAUAAUACCUGUGAAGAUGCAGGUUACCCGCGACAGGACGGAAAGACCCCGUGGAGCUUUACUGUAACCUGAUAUUGAAUUCCGGUGCAGCCUGUACAGGAUAGGUAGGAGCCUUGGACUCCGGAGCGCUAGCUUCGGAUGAGGCGUUGGUGGGAUACUACCCUGGCUGUAUUGGACUUCUAACCCAUGCCCCUUAUCGGGGCAGGAGACAGUGUCAGGCGGGCAGUUUGACUGGGGCGGUCGCCUCCUAAAGAGUAACGGAGGCGCCCAAAGGUUCCCUCAGAAUGGUUGGACAUCAUUCGUAGAGUGCAAAGGCAUAAGGGAGCUUGACUGCGAGACCUACAAGUCGAGCAGGGUCGAAAGACGGGCUUAGUGAUCCGGUGGUUCCGCAUGGAAGGGCCAUCGCUCAACGGAUAGAAGCUACCCCGGGGAUAACAGGCUUAUCUCCCCCAAGAGUCCACAUCGACGGGGAGGUUUGGCACCUCGAUGUCGGCUCAUCGCAUCCUGGGGCUGUAGUCGGUCCCAAGGGUUGGGCUGUUCGCCCAUUAAAGCGGUACGCGAGCUGGGUUCAGAACGUCGUGAGACAGUUCGGUCCCUAUCCGUCGCGGGCGCAGGAAAUUUGAGAGGAGCUGUCCUUAGUACGAGAGGACCGGGAUGGACAUACCUCUGGUGUACCAGUUGUCUUGCCAAAGGCAUCGCUGGGUAGCUAUGUAUGGACGGGAUAAAUGCUGAAAGCAUCUAAGCAUGAAGCCCCCCUCGAGAUGAGAUUUCCCAUUACGCAAGUAAGUAAGAUCCCUCAAAGAAGAUGAGGUUGAUAGGUCUGGGGUGGAAGCACGGCGACGUGUGGAGCUGACGGAUACUAAUCGAUCGAGGACUUAACCG
rnacentral:rRNA from 1 species